CAAUAUGAUGUUUAAAUCAAGGGCUAAGAAAGAGGUGUCAUCAAGUCCUUUAGGAAACCGAGGCAGGGCAGGAAACGUGGUCCAUCCUCGGGUUCGAGAAGCUUUCUGGAAGAGCGAGACCCCUUCCUGCACUUAACUGUAAAGCGAGGCAAGAACCAGGCCUGCCACAGAAGGUGGGGGUACUUUCCAGGCUAAGUGAGUGAGCAGCCAGGGCAAAGGCCUAGAGGCUGCAAGGGCCCUGGCAUGCUUGGGAAAUGAAAAGCAGCUGAGUAUGAAAAAGUAGCUGACACUUGGCUAAUUCCUUCCCUGUGGAAUCUGAGAGGCCCCUCUCCACGGCUCCCCCUUCCCUGUCCCCCUCCUCAUCGCAGGGGGCUUGGCUGAGGCAUCCCAGGCCUGUCCUGCUGUGGACCCAAAAUAGAAGAGGUGGGGCAGCUGGGAGGGGCGUGAGGCCCUACGUGCCACUGGAUGGGGGUUGGCCGGCCAACAAAGGGGUCCGGC
rnacentral:lncRNA from 1 species